ACCGUCAGCACAAAUAUCAAUCAACCGCUUCGUGCCCUGUCGCAGGUCUGCUCUGAGAGAGGAAAACCUGAGUCAGAAUCAGAGAACAUGACUUGUUUAGCAUCACACACCGUUUCUGACACAGGAUUCCAGUUUUGAUGAGCCGCAGACCGUCCAGGGGCACAGGCAGGGCUGCAGAAAGAAUUGGACAGGAAGACCUUGAAAGGGCUGCUCGACUGCAAGAAGAGAGGCUGGCCGAGAUGAAGGCUCAAUUGCAAGAGCUGUCCUUUGAAGAGAGGGGAGAGGCGCUUCCCAUGACAUCAUGUACCGGAGAGCUAUCUCAGGGUCUCUGGACAACCUCACUGGUGCAUCUGCAUGCGAGACUCCUGCACCUUAGCACACACAACUGCUGCCAUUUCACCACUGAAAUAUUAAAUGUAUUUAUUACGUUUACAUAACAGCUUAAGACUUUCCACGACUACACUGUACUUUAUUCAUUGAGGAGACUCCCUCCAAGCAGACACACUGUUCAUUUUUUGGUUGUGGCAUUUUGUGGUUUGUUUGUUUUGACACCUCUCAACACCCCUCAUAACCACCACAUCUAUGCACGCAACCACUCACUUACACUACUGAAUACUGACGACACACACCAUUGUUAAUUGUAUAUAGUGUAACGACCCUGGGUUUAUAAGCGCGGAAAUGCUUUUGCGGCACAGUCGAUAGCGCGCCGGACUUCGGGCUAGACGGUUGAGGGUUCGAGACCUGCUCCCUGCUGUUU